rnacentral:tmRNA from 1 species
GGGGCUGAUUCUGGAUUCGACGGGAUUUGCGAAACCCAAGGUGCAUGCCGAGGGGCGGUUGGCCUCGUAAAAAGCCGCAAAAAAUAGUCGCAAACGACGAAAACUACGCUUUAGCAGCUUAAUAACCUGCUCAGAGCCCUCUCUCCCUAGCCUCCGCUCUUAGGACGGGGAUCAAGAGAGGUCAAACCCAAAAGAGAUCGCGUGGAAGCCCUGCCUGGGGUUGAAGCGUUAAAACUUAAUCAGGCUAGUUUGUUAGUGGCGUGUCCGUCCGCAGCUGGCAAGCGAAUGUAAAGACUGACUAAGCAUGUAGUACCGAGGAUGUAGGAAUUUCGGACGCGGGUUCAACUCCCGCCAGCUCCACCA